rnacentral:rRNA from 1 species
AGGACGAACGCUGGCGGCGUGCCUAACACAUGCAAGUCGAGCGAGGAGAUCCUUCGGGAUGAUCCUAGCGGCGGACGGGUGAGUAACACGUGGGCAACCUGCCUCAUAGAGAGGAAUAGCCUUCCGAAAGGGAGAUUAAUACCUCAUAACAUUGCAGUUUCGCAUGGAACAGCAAUUAAAGGAGUAAUCCGCUAUGAGAUGGGCCCGCGGCGCAUUAGCUAGUUGGUGAGGUAACGGCUCACCAAGGCGACGAUGCGUAGCCGACCUGAGAGGGUGAUCGGCCACAUUGGGACUGAGACACGGCCCAGACUCCUACGGGAGGCAGCAGUGGGGAAUAUUGCACAAUGGGGGAAACCCUGAUGCAGCAACGCCGCGUGAGUGAUGACGGCCUUCGGGUUGUAAAGUUCUGUCUUCAGGGACGAUAAUGACGGUACCUGAGGAGGAAGCCACGGCUAACUACGUGCCAGCCGCCGC